CACACUGAAGGAAAAACAGAACGAGAAGGAACAAGAACAGCAGAAGAAGACAGUUGUCAGUGAUUGCAAAAUUGAAGAGUGGCUGCAAAUGAAACGAGAACAGGAAAAAAAAGAGAGAAUGUCCAAAGGGUUUCAGAAAAGCAAAGAACAGCUUCAAGAGGAGAAAAGACGUGCUGAGAUUGAAAA